UCGCCGCGGAUACCAGCUCCGCGAGUGGCGGACGAUUAUUGGGCCUAAGCGUCCGUAGCCGGCCUAUCAAGUCUCUGGUUAACCUCAAGGCUCAACCUUGAGAUUGCUGGAGAUACUGUCAGGCUAGGGGCGGAGAGGUUGAGGGUACGUUCGCGGGUAGGGCGGAAAUCCUAUAAUCCGCGAAGGACCACCAGUGGCGAAGGC
rnacentral:rRNA from 1 species